GUGAAUCAUCGAAUUUUUGAACGCAAAUUGCACUCUCUGGUAUUCCGGAGAGUAUGCCUGUUUGAGGGUCAGUUAAAUAAAAAUCGGUGUUUUGUUGUCGCUUUGCGUAGUGACGCAUCGGGUUUGGGUCGUCUUACCUUCGUUUAGUUGACCUAAAAUUUUGCAUGAUUUUUUUCGAACGAUUUUAAAUGAUUUUAGUUACUUUUCCAAUAUCAAAUA
rnacentral:misc_RNA from 1 species